rnacentral:pre_miRNA from 1 species
CUCAAUUCUAUUUUCACUGGAACAUUCAAAAUCCACCGGAAAUUAGCACAUGAUUCCCAAAAAUCGUCGGAAAUAAAUGCGAUUUAUAUGCCAAUUUCCGGUGGAUUUUGAACGUUUCGGUGAAAAUCGUGA